AAUAUUGGUCAAUGGAGGCAACUCUGAACCAGCCAUGCCGCGUGCAGGAAGACUGCCCUAUGGGUUGUAAACUGCUUUUGUACAGGAAGAAACAGAACUACGUGUAGUUCCUUGACGGUACUGUAAGAAUAAGCACCGGCUAACUCCGUGCCAGCAGCCGCGGUAAUACGGAGGGUGCAAGCGUUAUCCGGAAUCAUUGGGUUUAAAGGGUCCGCAGGCGGUCAAUUAAGUCAGAGGUGAAAUCCCAUAGCUUAACUAUGGAACUGCCUUUGAUACUGGUUGACUUGAGUUAUACGGAAGUAGAUAGAAUAAGUAGUGUAGCGGUGAAAUGCAUAGAUAUUACUUAGAAUACCGAUUGCGAAGGCAGUCUACUACGUAUAUACUGACGCUCAUGGACGAAAGCGUGGGGAGCGAACAGG
rnacentral:rRNA from 1 species